rnacentral:rRNA from 1 species
UACAGAGGUCUCGAGCGUUAGGCGGAAUCACUGGGCUUAAAGCGUGUGUAGGCGGAUCGUUAAGUACCUUGUGAAAUCCCACGGCUUAACCGUGGAACUGCUUGGUAUACUGGCGGUCUUGAGCCAGCUAGGGGCUACCGGAACAAAUGGUGGAGCGGUGAAACGCGUAGAUAUCAUUUGGAACGCCAAUGGUGAAAACAGGUAGCUGGGGCUGUGCUGACGCUGAGACACGAAAGCCAGGGGAGCAAACGGG